GAUGAACGCUGGCGGCGUGCCUAAUACAUGCAAGUAGAACGCUGAAGGAGGAGCUUGCUCUUCUGGAUGAGUUGCGAACGGGUGAGUAACGCGUAGGUAACCUGCCUGGUAGCGGGGGAUAACUAUUGGAAACGAUAGCUAAUACCGCAUGACAACAGUUAUUGCAUGAUAACUGUUUAAAAGGGGCAACUGCUCCACUACCAGAUGGACCUGCGUUGUAUUAGCUAGUUGGUGAGGUAACGGCUCACCAAGGCGACGAUACAUAGCCGACCUGAGAGGGGGAUCGGCCACACUGGGACUGAGACACGGCCCAGACGCCUACGGGAGGCAGCAGUAGGGAAUCUUCGGCAAUGGACGGAAGUCUGACCGAGCAACGCCGCGUGAGUGAAGAAGGUUUUCGGAUCGUAAAGCUCUGUUGUAAGAGAAGAACGAGUGUGAGAGUGGAAAGUUCACACUGUGACGGUAGCUUACCAGAAAGGGACGGCUAACUACGUG
rnacentral:rRNA from 1 species